CCCGGGCCUUGUACACACCGCCCGUCACACCACGAAAGUCGCCAACACCCGAAGCCGGUGGGCUAACCCCUUGUGGGAGGCAGCCGUCGAAGGUGGGGGUCGAUGAUUGGGGGUGAAGUCGUAAACAAGGUACC
rnacentral:rRNA from 1 species